AUCCCAAUGUGCUCCCAGUGCAUCCCAGUCACUCCCAGCACCUCCUGCAGGAGCUCCAGAAAUGCUUUGAUGUCAAGGACGUUCAGAUGCUGCAGGACACCAUCAGCAAAAUGGACCCCACCGAGGCCAAGUACCACAUGCAGCGCUGCAUCGACUCGGGGCUCUGGGUGCCCAACGCCAAGGGGGGGGACGGGGCGGAGAAGGGCUCCGGGGAGGCCGUUUAUGAGGAGAUCCAGAAGGAAAACGGCGCCGAGGACAAAGGAAAACCCUGAGCUGGGGGGGGUCGGGUCCCGAAAAAGGGCGGAAAAGGUCAAAAACCCCGUUGG